rnacentral:rRNA from 1 species
AUUGAACGCUGGCGGCAGGCCUAACACAUGCAAGUCGAGCGGAUGACGGGAGCUUGCUCCUUGAUUCAGCGGCGGACGGGUGAGUAAUGCCUAGGAAUCUGCCUGGUAGUGGGGGACAACGUUUCGAAAGGAACGCUAAUACCGCAUACGUCCUACGGGAGAAAGCAGGGGACCUUCGGGCCUUGCGCUAUCAGAUGAGCCUAGGUCGGAUUAGCUAGUAGGUGAGGUAAUGGCUCACCUAGGCGACGAUCCGUAACUGGUCUGAGAGGAUGAUCAGUCACACUGGAACUGAGGCACCGUCCAGCCGCCUACGGGAGGCAGCAGUGGGGAAUAUUGGACAAUGGGCGAAAGCCUGAUCCAGCCAUGCCGCGUGUGUGAAGAAGGUCUUCGGAUUGUAAAGCACUUUAAGUUGGGAGGAAGGGCAGUAAGCUAAUACCUUGCUGUUUUGACGUUACCGACAGAAUAAGCACCGGCUAACUCUGUGCCAGCAGCCGCCGUAAGAC